GCUUUUUUUUUAAUCUUAUAUCUGAUGAAAAAGGUCUUCCUCUCUCUCAGAUCUUCUUCCUUCUUCUUUCUCCUUAAGCAGACAUCUAUCCAUGAAAUCAACGCAAUAGAAACGAUGAAGAAACCUCAUUUUUUGAAGAAUCCAAUGUUUUUCCUAUUUCUUCUCAUCACUGCUUCUUCCUUAACUAUACUCAUCUUCUCCUUUCUUAAAUUACCGGAAACACCUCUCGCCGCUGGUAACCAUCUCUGCAAACUCGGAGACGACAUCUCCGACGAACUCGGUUUCUUCGGGAAGAUGAUGAUCGAAAUGUUACCUGAAGAUCUGGUUUUCAUAGCCUUCGU